AGAGAGAGACAUGCGCGCAUAUCAAUAAGCGGAGGAAAAGAAACUAACAAGGAUUCCCUUAGUAACGGCGAGUGAAGCGGGAAGAGCUCAAAUUUGAAAUCUUCAAGGUUUUACCUUGACGAAUUGUAGUUUAAAGAAGUGUUUUCUGCUGAGGUUUUGGUAAAAGUUCUUUGGAAUAGGACAUCAUAGAGGGUGAGAAUCCCGUAUUUGACCAUUAUUUUCAGCUUUGUGAUACACUUUCAAAGAGUCGGAUUGUUUGGGAAUGCAGUCCAAAAUGGGUGGUAAAUUCCAUCUAAAGCUAAAUAUUGGCGAGAGACCGAUAGCGAACAAGUACCGUGAGGGAAAGAUGAAAAGAGCUUUGAAAAGAGAGUUGAAACAGUACGUGAAAUUGUCAAAAGGGAAGCGUUUGACACCAGUGUUGUUUUCUCGAAAAUCAAUUAAAAAUGGUCUCGAUUUUGUAUUGUUGAGACCUUAAAAGCUCACUGUACAUUUUUCGUGUCUUUUUUAAUGCACUUUUCGUUUAACAAGUCAACAUCAGUUUCUUUUGUUGUAAAAGGGUCAUUGGAAGGUGGCUUUCCUUUCGGAGAAAGUGUUUAUAGCCUUUGGCCUCUGCAAUCGGAAGAGACUGAGGUCUGCAGCGUAGACUCUUCGGGGUUAGAUACAUUUGUGCUAAGUUAUAGCUUUUUAUAGACAACUUGUUGACUAUAAUUAGUCUUGUAGCUUACUCGCUUAUGCUAUUUUACCUACGCUUAGGAUGUUGAAGUCAUCGUAUCGCGC
rnacentral:rRNA from 1 species